ensembl:lncRNA
GUGGCAACCCAACAGUGUGUGGUUAUGAGGGUGGUGGGGGUCAUGGGGGGCAGCCCGAAAACGUGGGGGGGGGAAGGGGGUCUGUAGGACAUCAUCAGUCCUGGUUUGUAGGGCAUCUGUCCGUCUGUAGGACGUCUAUGGAGGUCUGUAGGACAUCUGUCCAUCUGUAGGACAUCCAUGGAGGUCUGUAGGGCAUCUGUCCUUCUAUAGGACAUCUAUGGAGGUCUGUAGGACUUCUGUCCUUCUAUAGGACAUCCAUGGAGGUCUGUAGGACAUCUGUCCUGGUUUGUAGGACAUCUGUCCAUCUGUAGGACAUCUAUGGAGGUCUAUAGGAUGUCAGUCCUGGUU